UGCCUGCUUUUCUGAUCCACACCUACUUUAAAAAAAAAGAAGGCACCAUCCCGCUUCUAACAAUGUAGCAAAUCAAACUUGCUAACCUCUGCUCACUUGGGGAAGAUUGUAGCAAGCAUACCUAGGUUGUUACUUUGGGAUAAAGGAGACAGACUGUCUGAAGAGCUCUGGAGAAGACCCACAGAGAUGWGCUUUGAGUGGGCUUCUUUGUGGUGAGACCCGAUCCUCGAUUAUUGGCCAAAGAAAAUAUCUGAUUUGUCAAAAGACCAAUUAGAGAAAAAAAUAUCAGAAUUGUCAUCGCAGCCUAUGAACUCAGUACAUGAAAUAGAUCCGGGGACGUAUCAAGCAUCUCAGAAUACGGGUGAUGAUCUAGGAUCGGUUUUCCCUUUCAGAGCAUAAUUAAUAAAAAUACACUAUGGACAGAGAGGACAUGAUCCUAGAUCAGCACUCUACUCUAUACACUACUUUGAGACUGAAAUGUUCGUAUAAACAACCACACUGACUCAGUACAAUAAAUAAUUCCUCCCC